rnacentral:rRNA from 1 species
ACGCUCGACACCUACGGGAGACAGCAGUGGGGAAUAUUGCACAAUGGGGGAAACCCUGAUGCAGCGACGCCGCGUGAAGGAAGAAGUAUUUCGGUAUGUAAACUUCUAUCAGCAGGGAAGAAACUGACGGUACCUGACUAAGAAGCACCGGCUAAAUACGCGCCAGCAGCCGCGGUAAUCUGAGCGGGCUGGCAAGGC